rnacentral:lncRNA from 1 species
UUUUUUUUUUUUUUUUUUUUUGGUUGGAUGGUCUCCUGUUAUUAUCUGCUUGAGUGUAUUUUUGUUUUUCAUUUUUUGCAAAUGCAAUAUUUGGUUUUGGCUUGUGGUUGCCCUUGUUUUUAAGUAUGCUAACCCCUUCCCAUAAUUGUGUGUUUUAGCCUGAUGGUCCUGUAAGUUCAAACACUUCAUUAUUAUAUUAAAAUUAAGAAGAGAGACAUACAUACAAACAAAUAGGAUUAUUUACCUCCUAACAUCCCUUGCCCACAUUUUAUGGUUUUGAUGACUCUUUUAUUUUUUUCCUUUUUAAUUUUAUUUGUUUGAAGCAUGUUCAUGAUUAAAUCUGUAUGCUGGCUUAUUUGAGUGACUGCUCUCUGAUUGUAUCUUCCUCAGUCCUAGUUCUUCCUCUUCUUCUUCUUCUUCUUUUUUUUUUUUUUUUUCUUUUCUUUUUUCUUCCCUUUCCUUCCUUUCUUUUUGGUUUAGAGAAGCCCUUUCAAUAUUUCCUUUAACCUGGGCUUUGUGUUGCUGUAUUCUUUAAGUUUUUGUUUGUUGGGAAAAAUUUUUAUUUCCCCUUCUAUUUUAAAUGAUAUUCUUGCUGGAUAAAGUAUUCUAGGUUGCAUAUUUUUUCCUUUGAGCACUUUAAAUAUCUCUUGCCAUUCCCUCCUGGCCUGUAGUGUUUCUGUAGAGAAAUCAGCUGAUAUUCUUAUGGGGGUUCCCUUGUAGGUAACAUUCUGUUUUUCUCUUGCUGCCUUUAGGAUCCUCUCUUUAUCACUAACUUUUGCCAUUUUUAUUAUGAUGUGUCUUGGUGUGGGUCUGUUUGGGUUCAGUUUGUUUGGGGCCCUCUGUGCUUCUUGUAUCUUGAAUCCAGUAUCCUUUAGAUUUGGGAAGUUUCCAGCGAUAAUUUCUUCAAAUAUAUUUUCCAUUCCUUUAUCUUUUUCUACUCCUUCUGGAAUUCCUAUUAUGCGUAGAUUGGCCCGUUUUAUAUUAUCCCAUAGGUCUCUUAUAUUGCUUUCCAGUUUUUUGAUUCGGUUUUCUGUCUGUUGACCAGAUUGAGUGAUUUCCAUUAUUCUAUCUUCCAUAUCACUGAUUCGUUCUUCUGCAUUAUUCAUUCUGGUUUUUACUGCCCCUAGUUCAGUUUGCAUCUCUGCAAAUGAAUGUUCUAGUUUUUCUUGGCUCCUCCUUAUAUUUUCUAGCUCCUUUCUGAGGGUAUCUGCAUUGCUGUUCAUAUCUUCUCUUAAUUCCUUCAGUAUUUUCACUAUUUCUCUUUUGAACUCCAGGUCUGUCAGACUGCAGAGAUCAGUUUCAUUGUUGACUGUUUUAGGUGAGUUCUCCUGUUGGUUUGACUGGGGGUGGUUUCUCAGCUUCUUCAUCUUGCUUGUUGUCUUCUUUCUCCUGAGGGAGUUGUACUCUCCGUUAUCGGGUAGUGUUUGCCUUGUCACUGCCCUGGAAUGUUUCCUGAGGGCUGUCGUUGUUGGUCAAUCUUUUUUUGAGGCAGUGUGGCUUUUCUGGAGUGUUGAUGGGACUAACAGUGUUUCUUUGAAGCAAAGGAGGACUUCCUGAGGGCAGACAGGACUGGGAGGUCCACCCCACGAUGGUAGCAGAUUUCACUUGGUUCUCAGCACCCCCUGGGGUCUUGGGCGGGUAGCAGGGCCCUUGGAGACUCAAGAGGUUCCUCCCCAGGGCAGCCCGACUCAGAAAGACCGUCUGAGAUCUUUUCCCGAUUCCGCCAGGCUUGUUGCAGCUUUUCUGGGCUGCAGGGGGUCCUGCCUGGAGCUGGCAGUCCUAUGCAGCUGGUCCACUAGGUCUCAGCACCCCUUGGGGUCUUGGGCGGGUAGCAGGGCCUUUGGAGGCUCAAGAGGCUCCUCCCCAGGGCAGCCCGACUCAGAAAGACCGUCUGAGAUCUUUUCCCAAGUCGGCCAGGCUUGUUGCAGCUUUUCUGGGCUGCAGGGGGUCCUGCCUGGAGCUGGCAGUCCUAUGCAGCUGGUCCACUAGGUCUCAGCACCCCUUGGGGUCUUGGGCGGGUAGCAGGGCCCUUGGAGACUCAAGAGGCUCCUCCCCAGAACAGCCCGACUCAGAAAGACCGUCUGAGAUCUUUUCCCAAGUCGGCCAGGCUUGUUGCAGCUUUUCUGGGCUGCAGGGGGUCCUGCCUGGAGCUGGCAGUCCUAUGUAGCUGGUCCACUAGGUCUCAGCACCCCCUGGGGUCUUGGGCGGGUAGCAGGGCCCUUGGAGGCUCAAGAGGCUCCUCCCCAGGACAGCCUGACUCAGAAAGACCGUCUGAGAUCUUUUCCCAAGUCGGCCAGGCUUGUUGCAGCUUUUCUGGGCUGCAGGGGGUCCUGCCUGGAGCUGGCAGUCCUAUGCAGCUGGUCCACUAGGUCUCAGCACCCCCUGGGGUCUUGGGCGGGUAGCAGGGCCCUUGGAGGCUCAAGAGGCUCCUCCCCAGGGCAGCCCGAUUCAGAAAGACCGUUUGAGAACUUUUCCCGAUUCGGCCAGGCUUGUUGCAGCUUUUCUGGGCUGCAGGGGGUCCUGCCUGGAGCUGGCAGUCCUAUGCAGCUGGUCCACUAGGUCUCAGCACCCCCUGGGGUCUUGGGCGGGUAGCAGGGCCCUUGGAGGCUCAAGAGGCUCCUCCCCAGGACAGCCCGACUCAGAAAGACCGUCUGAGAUCUUUUCCCGAUUCGGCCAGGCUUGUUGCAGCUUUUCUGGGCUGCAGGGGUCCUGCCUGGAGCUGGCAGUCCUAUGGAGCUGGUCCACUAGGUCUCAGCACCCCCUGGGGUCUUGGGCGGGUAGCAGGGCCCUUGGAGACUCAAGAGGCUCCUCCCCAGGACAGCCCGACUCAGAAAGACCGUCUGAGAUCUUUUCCCGAUUCGGCCAGGCUUGUUGCAGCUUUUCUGGGCUGCAGGGGGUCCUGCCUGGAGCUGGCAGUCCUAUGCAGCUGGUCCACUAGGUCUCAGCGCCCCUUGGGGUCUUGGGCGGGUAGCAGGGCCCUUGGAGACUCAAGAGGCUCCUCCCCAGGACAGCCCGACUCCGAAAGACCGUCUGAGAUCUUUUCCCCACUCGGCCAGGCUUGUUGCAGCUUUUCUGGGCUGCAGGGGGUCCUGCCUGGAGCUGGCAGUCCUAUGCAGCUGGUCCACUAGGUCUUAGCACCCCCUGGGGUCUUGGGCGUGUAGCAAGGCCCUUGGAGACUCAAGAGGCUCCUCCCCGGGGGAGCCCGUCUCAGAAAAACCGUCGGAGAAUUAGGUCGAUCUAUUCACGGCCUGGCUAGGCUUGUUCUAGCUUUUCUGGGCUGCAGGCCUUUUCUAGGGGGCUGGUGGUGUUUGGUGCUGCUCUGUGGAAGUGUAGCCCCUCCAAAGGGCAAGCAGGCCUGUGCAGGGAGAGCCCCUGCGGUGGUAGGUUUCAGGCAAUUGUUGAGGCCAGCCCUCCUGGAUGGCAGGCAGCCCCAGGUUCGGCGAGAGCGUAGGGAGUGGCGGGGGUGGGGGAGGGAAUGCACUGGGAAGCACAGCUUUCUGCUAGCUAGCGGGCCUGUAAGCUUGUUGUGGCGUGGGGGGUAUUCUAUGGGGACCCACCCCUUCUUCUCUCCCCUCCCCAGCACGGGCGCAGACCAGGCUCUUCUCCCAGGUUCCCUCUGAGGCGGCUUUCCACUUCCCCGCCCCUAGAGUAUUGCUCCCUUCCUCUGCGACAGCUUUGUUUUCUAGUCUCCCAGGCAGUCUCUGCCCCGUCAAAUGGUUUAGAGACCUCCCAAGCAGUUUCCGCUCUUCCCCGCCCCCUAGCCCGGGGACUAAUCUCUGGAGCCGAGGUCUCGGUGCCCAGCCCCCCCCCCAGGCGUCCCCCGGCCCUUUCUUGGGGACUAACCUUCGGAGGCGAGGUCUCGGUGCCCAGCCCCAACCCAGGCGUCCCCCGGCCCCCUCUCGGGGACCAACCUUCAGAGCUGAGGUCUCGGUGCCCAGCCCCCACCCAGGCGUCCCCCGGCCCUUUCCCGGGGACUAACCUCUGGAGCCGAGGAUUCGGUGCCCAGCCCCCACCCAGGCGUCUCUAUUUUUGGUGACUGUGCCCGUAGUUCAGAUGGUCCGUUGGGUUCUUGAUCGUUUUUCCGUACUCCGACUUACUGCUACACUCUUCUCUGCAUCUGGAGAUUCCUCCGGUUCGUUUGAUCUUUCGCCCGGUAGGAGACUUUCCAGGGUGCGGGAUCCCUUUCUCCUCCGCAGUUCCCUUUCGGGAGCGCCCGUCCCGCUCGGAUUCACCUUCUCUCACUCUCCUCUUUUCUCCCGUUCUGCCCAAUAACGUCACGAAUUUCUUGCCGUUAUUGGAGUUUAGGUUCCUCUGCCAGCGAUUGGUUGUUGUUCUGUGCGAGUCAUUUCUUCUGUAGAUGUGCUUUUUUUGUUGUGUUUGUGGGAGAGGGCGAGCGUGUCCCCCUACUCCUCCGCCAUCUUGUCCUCCUCAAUUUCUGUUUGACACUUUGUACAACAAAGCAUACAGGAUUGUCUGUCUACAAAUAUAAAAAGCAGUAUGUCAGGCAUUGUGCUAAAAUCUAGAUUACCCUGGUCAACAAAACUGAAACGGGAGUAGGGAGGGAUCAAGAUGAUGGAGUAGGAAGAUCCUGAGCUCACCUCCUGCCUCACCAAAAUUACAACUGCUUAUAGGGUAACUAUCUUUGAAAAUAACCUGAAGGCUAGCAGAAAAGAUUUUCCAUAACUAAAGAUAUAAAGAAAGAACCACUUGACAGGUAGGAGGGGCAGAGACACGACCUAGUCAGCACCCACAUUCCUGGAAUGGUGACCUAUAAGUGGGAGGAAGAUCACAACUGUGGAGGCCCUCCCUGAGGAGCAAGGGGUCCAGGUCCCACCCUGGGUUCACUGACCUGGUGGUCCUGCCCUGGGAAGAUGAACACACAAAUGUCUUGCUGUGAAAACCAGUGAGGCUUAUGUUUGGGAGAGCUAGAGAUUGAGGAAACAGAGACUCCAUUCUUUUUUUUUUUUUUUUUUUUUUUUUUUUGUCUUUUUGCCUUUUCUAGGGCCACUCCCUCGGCAUAUGGAGGUUCCCAGGCUAGGGGUUGAAUCGGAACUACAGUUGCCAGCCUACACCAGAGCCACAGCAAUGUGGGAUCUGAGCCACAUCUGUGACCUACACCACAGCUUAUAGCAACAGUGGAUCCUUAAUACACUGAGCAAGGCCAGGGAUUGAACCUGAAACCUCAUGAUUCUUAGUCAGAUUCGUUAACCACUGAGCCACAACGGGAGCUCCAAGACUCCAUUCUUAAAAGGCAUGUGCACAACUCACAUGCUUCAAGUCCCAGUGCAGAGCAGUAGCCUGAAAGGAGCCUGGGUUAGACCUACUUGCUGAUCUUGGAGAGUCUUGUGGAAAGACAGGAGGCAGCUGGGACUCCCCAUAGGGACUGAGAUGCUUGUGGCCAUGAUUUUUGUGAUCUUGUUCUAUUAUGCUGACACUGAUACUGGUGCUCUUUUGGAAUUCUUCCUCUAGCUUGUUAGCACCAGGGGCCAGCUCUACCCACCGUCACAUCUGCCACUGUCAGCCUUGCCUCAGCAGAAGGGCUCAUACUGGUCAUAUGGGGGAUCUCCCUGGAACAUCUGAUUUUGGUGGCCAGAAGGAAUCUUGAUGCUGGGCCACACUGGACAUCUAUAUAAGGCCAGUUCUGCAAGAUUGGGAGUUGUAACCAACUACCUAAUACCUAGAAAUAAGCUUAGAGAAUUAGGCAACAUUAGGAGACAAAGGAGUAUGUUUCAAACAAAAGAACAUGACAAAAAAGAGCUAGGUGAAAAAAAGAGCUAAAUGAAAUGGAGAUAAGCAAUCUAUUUGAUAAAGAAUUUAAGGUAAUGAUUAUAAAGAUGCUCACCAAACUCAGGAAGAGAAUGGAUAAACAGAGUGAGAACUUGAACACAGAGUUAGGAAAUAUAAUGAAGAACCAAUCAGAGCUGAAGAAUACAAUAACAGAAAUGAAAUAUAUACUGGAAGGAAUCAAUGGUAGAUUAGAUGAUGCAGAAGGAUGAAUCAGUGAUCUGGAAGACAGUAGUAGGAAUUAUCCAAGUCAGGAGUUCCCUUCAUGGCACAGAAGAAACAAAUCCAACUAGGAACCAUGAGGUUGUGGGUUUGAUCCCUGGCCUUGCUCAUGCCAUGGGAUCUGGCAUUGCCAUGGGCUGUGAUAUAGAUUGCAGAUGUGGCUUUCUAUGGCUGUGUUGUAGGCCAGUAGCUAUAGCUCUGAUUGGACUCCUAGCCUGGGAAUCUCCGUAUGCAUGUGUGCAGCCCUAAAAAAAAAAAAA